GGCCUUCAUUGUGUAGCCCCUGUAUAGUUAACUGUUCCAUGACCCUGUUUCAGGCCUCGUCACACUACCUACUGUCCGCUCAUUCCCGGCUGUUAGAGACUGAAUGUUUGUGUCCUUACCAUAUUCAUAUAUGGAAAUGCCAUCCUCCAGAGUGAUGCUAUUAGAAGGUGAGCCACCGGGAGAUGAUUAGGUCACAAGGGUGAGGCCCUCAUGAAUGGGAUUAGUGUUCUUAUAAACAAGACUGCUGAGCGCUCUCUUGACCCUGCCAUUAUGUGAGGGCAUAGUGAGAAGACAACCAUAUAUGAACAAGGAAGUGGCCCGUCACCACACACAGAAUCAUCUGCCAGUGUCUUGAUCCUGUAUUUCCCAGAUUCCAGACUGUGAGAAAUAAAUGUUUGUUUUUUAAGCCAUCCUGUCUAUGGUACUUUUUGUCGUAGCAGCCUGAAUGGACUAAAGCACUGGCCGUUAAUAACUCUCAGCUAGCUACACAAGGCAAAGUGGAAAGUAGGAAAAAAAAAUACUCUGCUCAGCCUCUGAAAUUAAUCCAGACCAUCUUCCAUUUGCACACUUCAUUCUUUUUCUUGUUCCUCACAGUCCUGUGUUUGGCUUUUGCUCUUCUCCACCCGGUUUGUGGAGAUUGACAGCAAGUCUGUGCUCACUCUCCCACCUUGUCUCUGCACUUGUCUCGUCAGGCCUACGCUGUGCAGGUAUUCCUGCCCAGGUUUUGAGCUGACCAGAGAAAAUCACCAUCACAAUGACCAAAUCAAACAGCUGCAUGGGACCUAAGAGGUGAGUUCGUCCUAACUUUUAUUUUACACAGGAAACUGAACCCCAAAAUGUAUAAGCCAUGCUGUACUCUUGGCCUCUCUGUUUUUGCUAUCAAAAAGAAGCAUGUCUUGUCCCAUAGGUCCUUCUAAAAUGUUCAGAGUAUAUGUCAGGUAACAAAUGUAGAUUUUAAUCUAUUUCAAAAUACCCUUGAUAGACUGUCAAUAUUCCUGUGACUUUCUGGAAAUGAAACAGGAAAUCAAAUUUUAAAAAAGCCCAGGGUCCAAUUUUCAAUAUCUAAUCCAGUUUCUUCAGGAAGUGUUAGCUAUGUGAUUUCUAUUACCAUCAAAAACAGUGAUACAGUGUGAUACUGACCAUCUGUUUAGGAAAUGGCAGAUACACUCGGAAAAUCCAGAGUAACAGGAACUCAGAACCGUCAUCGGUUAGAGAGAUGAUAAGUCCAAGAAGAUGCCACUUGGGUCAGGUGUGGAUGAAGCGUUGUUAGGUGGGCCAUCUGAACUUCAUGCAUAACUGUCUUCUAGACGUGUGAUAACCUUGUGUCCCUUGGUUGUCUGACCUGCAGU
rnacentral:lncRNA from 1 species